GACUCCUUGUUCUCCAGAGAAUCGCCAUCGACUCCACUAGCGUGCUCCCCAAUGGAUCUCCCCAUUGGGAGAGACGAUUCAUCUUUCCAUGGAUUUCUCUCAUCCUCUAUAAGUACUCCACCCCAUGGAUUUCUCCCCUCAAACAGUAGUCGAAUCACAAGCUGCAGCUGCUAGGCCGCUGCAAGAUCAGAAGUCAUAGAACCGACAUGCUGCUCGCAUUCAGAUUUCAGCCUUGAGAUUCAGAGAUUGCAAUGACGUUUGGGUCGAAACGCAAGUUAGUAAAUCAGAAUGAGGUAAUUCUUCUUGAUGCACGCAAAGGGAAGAACUCUGGUGGAUCAAGACCCUGGCGAUGCAAGCAUUGUGAUAAGAAAUUUACAAGUAGCUAUACAAGAAUUCGCGAGCACUUCUUGGUCCUGGUCCUGGUAAGACGCCACAGGUCUCGCGCUGCUCUGUCACAAAUGAUCGUGUCAAGUAUAAGAAAAUAUAUGAUAAGGAACAUGCACAUACUUUUUUGGUCUGCAUUUUCUCUCUAAUAAAUGGGCCAUUUUCCUGUGUUUCAAGAUUCAGUUUUGUCCAAUGAUUUUUCAAUGCAAGAUUAGAGGAUUUUCCAUUCCAUUUGUGCACCCUUGCAGCUUUCUGCAAUGUUCACGGAUGAUUUUGAUAUGAUUUGUACAAGCACCUUUUAUUUGGUUGGAGAGCACCGUGUGGGAUUUAGAGUAGGCACCGAAUUAUUUUGAAAGGGCACCAUUUCAUUUUCUUGUAGCCAGAGAGCACUGUCUGCUUCAUUAGUUCUGAAAUUGUGUUCUGGUUUUGUCCAGCGGAUUAAUCCCUCCCAUGUGGUCAGCACUACAAUUUUGAAGUUGAGCUUAAUGUGAAACUGAGCUAGUUGAUUGAUUAUCUUUGUUAAUGAUCUAGUUGAUUAGAUAUCAUUGUCACAAAUUGUAGCAUCAUGUAAUAUAUACAUUUUCUUCGAAUGAAAUCUCAAUGAAAGGUUUGUUUGCUGCACACUUUAACUUCCAUUGAAGUUAAAUCCGACCACGUUAACUGGAACUGCUAGUUAAUGGGAAAACUAAGUUUGUGACAUUCAAACAUACCAACAGUUUACUCUUAACUUUGAAGAGGGCACCCAUUA